GGGAUUGCCCUAGUAACGGCGAGUGAAGCGGCAAUAGCUCAAAUUUGAAAGCUGGCCUCUGGUCCGCAUUGUAAUUUGUAGAGGAUGCUUUUGGGCAGCCACCGGUCUAAGUUCCUUGGAACAGGACGUCAUAGAGGGUGAGAAUCCCGUAUGUGACCGGCUUCGGCACCCAAUGUAAAGCUCCUUCGACGAGUCGAGUUGUUUGGGAAUGCAGCUCUAAAUGGGAGGUAAAUUUCUUCUAAAGCUAAAUACUGGCGAGAGACCGAUAGCGCACAAGUAGAGUGAUCGAAAGAUGAAAAGCACUUUGGAAAGAGAGUUAAAAAGCACGUGAAAUUGUUGAAAGGGAAGCGCUUGCAAUCAGACUUGGCCUCGGCUGUUCAACCGGUCUUCUGACCGGCCUAUUCAGUCGUGGCCAGGCCAGCAUCAGUUUUGGCGGCCGGAUAAAGGCCUUGGGAAUGUGGCUGUCCCUUCGGGGGCAGUGUUAUAGCCCAGGGUGUAAUACGGCCAGCCGGGACUGAGGUCCGCGCUUCGGCUAGGAUGCUGGCGUAAUGGUUGUAAGCGGCCCGUCUUGAAACACGGACCAAGGAGUCUAACAUCUAUGCGAGUGUUAGGGUGUCAAACCCUUACGCGUAAUGAAAGUGAACGGAGGUGGGAACCGCAAGGUGCACCAUCGACCGAUCCUGAUGUCUUCGGAUGGAUUUGAGUAAGAGCAUAGCUGUUGGGACCCGAAAGAUGGUGAACUAUGCCUGAAUAGGGUGAAGCCAGAGGAAACUCUGGUGGAGGCUCGCAGCGGUUCUGACGUGCAAAUCGAUCGUCGAAUUUGGGUAUAGGGGCG
rnacentral:rRNA from 1 species